rnacentral:rRNA from 1 species
AGUGAACGCUGGCGGCGUGCCUAAUACAUGCAAGUCGAACGGAGUGGCGCACGGGUGAGUAAUGUAUAGUUAAUCUUCACUACACUAGAGGUAAACAGUUGGAAACGACUGCUAAUACUCUAUAGUGUAGGAUGAGGCUAAAUUGUAUCAUUUAGCUGGUGAGGUAAUGGAUCACCAAGGCUAUGACGGAUAACUGGUCUAGGAGGAUGAUCAGUCACACUGGAACUUGGACACGGUCCAGACUCCUACGGGAGGGAGCAGUAGGGAAGAGUGCACAGAGGAGGAAACCCUGAAGCAGCAACGACGCGUGGAGGAUGACACUUUUCAGAGCGUAAACUCCUUUUGGUAGGGAAGCGGUACCUAACGAAUAAGCACCGGCUAACUCCGUGCCAGCAGCCGCGGUAAUGC